CUCUUCAGUUCCUUGUGAGUUGAAUCCAAGAAAAGCAUUGGCUCUGAAGAAUUUCCUGUACUCUCUACGGACCUGAAAAUUUAAACAAACCCCCCAAAAUGAGUAUGAAGAAUGAAUUUGUUUUCACUGGUACUCUUAUAAUUCUUAAUGGCAGAAAACAGUCAGAAAGCAGACAAACAUGAAAAGUGUUCCCUGAAAUGCAAACACUAAGUGGAUACACUUAAAAUAUAUGAACC
rnacentral:lncRNA from 1 species